UACGGAGGGAGCUAGCGUUGUUCGGAAUUACUGGGCGUAAAGCGCGCGUAGGCGGCUUUUGUAAGUUAGAGGUGAAAGCCCGGGGCUCAACCCCGGAACUGCCUUUAAGACUGCAUCGCUUGAAUCCAGGAGAGGUGAGUGGAAUUCCGAGUGUAGAGGUGAAAUUCGUAGAUAUUCGGAAGAACACCAGUGGCGAAGGCGGCUC
rnacentral:rRNA from 1 species